UUUCCAUGUGAUUUUCCUCUUAAUUUUUUUCUAGCUGAUCCAUAUGAAUUCCUCUUAUUAAGAAAAAUAAAGCAUCCAGGAUUCAAUGAAGAACUGACUAUCACCUUGUUAAUCAUUCAGAAACAUGUUGCAGACUUAAGCCUUUUUGAUAUAGAUACUGAAACAAUUACUUGCUAAGAGCAAACUUGAAGGUAUGGAUAAGGCCCUGAGUCAUCUUCCUGAGCUGAAUGAUAGUUAAGCUGAAUGUACGUAUAAAAUAUGAUUUUCUAACACUUGCUCGCCAACAGGGAAAACUUUUAAGUAGAGCAGAACCUGAAUAGACAAGACAUUUCUUUCUUUUGGUAGAAAAUGAUUUACCAUCACUGUCUAGUUAAUUGUAGACUAGGUAAUUUUAACUUUGUGAUUUAUUGCCGGAGACAUUUUCUUCUGUACUGUAAAGUGUGUGUCAAAAAAAAAAUAGCGAUUUUGGAGGAUUAGAGGAGUUUGAUAAAUUGCCUGCAGUUCUGGCAGUAUGAACUGCAUAUUAAUUUCUCUCUUUCAAGAACAUUUUUAUUUAUUAAUUCCUUACAAAAACUCCCUAAACUUUGGAACAGCUCUCAAUUGCCUGUAUUCUUUUUUUUCUUAUUAUGAUACUCUUCUAGAGAUUUGGCUUGCAUCUAUGAAUAAGCCAGGACAUCUUCAGAAAUUGUCUGAUUAAAAACACCACCAAUGGAGUUUCAUUAAACUUGUAUUGCUCUGACUAGUGAAACACACACAUCUAUGUUGCUGAGGAUAUUUUACUGCAGUUUUAGUUGUAAUAAUAGCUCUGUUUAAGAUCCGUCAGUCACUUGAAUCUUCUCUAAGGCUUUGUAUGUUAGAAGUUAAUUUGCUUUCUUACAAGGCCACAUUCUAUCUUGUAACUAAACAACUGAAUUUUAUGUCUUAGCGUAGAUGGUUUAUUACUUUCUGGUUUUUCUUUAGUAAGAAUCCUAUAAAAACACUAGUAUUUUUCUCUGAGUUUAAAAUUCAACACAUGCCUACUGAUACGAUUAGGCUUUGUAUCCCCACCUGAAUCUCAUCUUGAAUUGUAAUCCCCAUAGCCCCCAUAAUCCCCGCAGGUCAAGGGAGAGACCAGGUGGAGGUAAUUGAAUCAUGGGGGCAGUUUCUCCUGUGCUGUUCUUGUGAUAGUGAGUUCUCACGAGAUUUGAUGGUUUUAUAAGGGAUUCUUUCCCCUUUGCUCGGCACUUCUUCAUGCUGCCUUGCGAAGAAGCUGGCUUGCUUCCUCUUUGUCUUCCGGCAUGAUUGUAGAUUUCCUGAGGCCUCCCAAGCGGUGCUGAACUACCAAACCAAUGCAGACCAAACCAAUGCAGAACUCCUAUGUGCUGAUGGUGGUCUUACGUUUCCCUAAGUUUCUGCCGACUAAACUGUGCACACGUUCUCAGGACCUCCUGAAGCUGCGUCACAGGCACUAAUCAAAGAACACAACCAAGAGUUUGGCCUUUUCUUCAGCACUGGGAAUUGUGAUCCAAAGCUUUCCCGGAUGAAGCACAAAGUUGGAGAAACAAAACGCAAACUAAACAACAACAAUGAAACAGAACAGAGUUAAUCUGCUGUAGCUCAAGAGAGGACGUACCUGCCCCCACCCCGCAUCCCUGGGCUUGGGUUUGCCUUGCUGACCUCUGCUGCCACCUGGUGCCACACAGAGAAACUGUGGAGAAACCACAUCAGUCUCCUUCAGCCUCAGCUUCACAUCUGUGGGUCAAGUAACCCUUUCAGAAGCUGUAUAAUGUGGGAAAGCUUUCCUCUCAGGAAAAUGCACACAUCUAACUUUGAGAAGAUGCCCUUGGGGGCGCUUCAAGGAUCCUAGAUAAAGAACCCCCUUUCCCGAACAUCCAAGAACCUAAGUUUUUUUUUUUUUUUUUGAGAAAGUCUCGCUCUCUCUCCCAGUCUGGAGUGCAGUGGCGUGAUCUUGGCUCCCUGCAAGCUCCACCUCCCAGGUUCACGCCAUUCUCCUGCCUCAGCCUCCCGAGUAGCUGGGGCUACAGGCACCUGCCACCACACCCGGCUAAUUUUUUUGUAUUUUUAGUAGAGACGGGUUUCACCGUGUUAGCCAGGGUCUUCUUGAUCUCCUGACCUUGUGAUCCACCCGCCUCGGCCUCCCAAAGUGCUAGGAUUACAGGUGUGAGCCACCGCACCUGGUCCAAGAACCCAAGUUUUAGAUCUAGAGUGAUGUCAGCAUGACAUUGAUUUCCUGAGGCCCAGGGGUGAAGGAGCUGAGGACAGCAGAGGGGUGAAGGAACUCAGCUACAGACAGCAGCAGCUGAUGCACAGGCCUCCCAGCGCCUGAAGUCACCCGGAAUUGGGAAGUGCUCAGAAGCUUACAAAGCUGCCUCGAGGUGGGAACACGACAUAAAUCCAAGAGCAGAUCCCUGAUCCUAUAAAAAUGUACUAGAUGCAGUGGGGGCAUUUUAAAUGAGCAGAGAAGGACAGACAGAUAAACAGAAGGACAAACAGUAUUGGGAUUGGGAUAAAUGCUCAGCUUUUGCCCAAAUCUUAGUGACUUAAGCAUCACUUAUUUGCUCACGAUUCUGUGGCUGGACCAUUUGGUUUGGCUCACAGGGCAGGGACUGUGCUGGUCUUACCUGAGCAGACCUGCAUGUCUGCGGUCAACUGGGUUGGCAGAGACAGAGUGACUGUCUUCCUCCAGGAAGCAGCAGGUUAACUGGUUGGCAGAGACAGAGGGAC